rnacentral:ncRNA from 2 species
AACGAAUAAACGGGGAGCUUGUAGGCAGGCUGAGAGGAUAGCGACAGAGCUAUCGACCCGCGACCUGAUUUGGAUAAUGCCAACGUAGGGACAUAACAAACCGAACUA